GAUGAAGAACGUAGCGAAAUGCGAUAAGUAAUGUGAAUUGCAGAAUUCAGUGAAUCAUCGAAUCUUUGAACGCACAUUGCGCCCGCCAGUAUUCUGGCGGGCAUGCCUGUUCGAGCGUCAUUUCAACCAUCAAGCCCCAGGCUUGUGUUGGAGCCCUGCGGCUGACGCAGCCUCCCAAAACCAGUGGCGGGCUCGCUAUCACACCGAGUGCAGUAGUUUACUCUUCGCUCAGGGCGUGUGGCGGGUGCUAGCCGUAAAACCCCCAACUUCUCAAGGUUGACCUCGGAUCAGGUAGGAAUACCCGCUGAACUUAAGCAUAUCAAUAAGCGGAGGA
rnacentral:misc_RNA from 1 species